GAUGAACGCUGGCGGCGUGCCUAAUACAUGCAAGUCGAGCGAACGGACGAGGAGCUUGCUCCUCUGACGUUAGCGGCGGACGGGUGAGUAACACGUGGAUAACCUACCUGUAAGACUGGAACAACUUCGGGAAACCGGAGCUAAUACCGGAUAAUAUAUUGAACCGCAUGGUUCGAUAGUGAAAGACGGUUUUGCUGUCACUUAUAGAUGGAUCCGCGCCGCAUUAGCUAGUUGGUAAGGUAACGGCUUACCAAGGCAACGAUGCGUAGCCGACCUGAGAGGGUGAUCGGCCACACUGGAACUGAGACGCGGUCCAGACUCCUACGGGAGUCAGCAGUAGGGAAUCUUCCGCAAUGGGCGAAAGCCUGACGGAGCAACGCCGCGUGAGUGAUGAAGGUCUUCGGAUCGUAAAACUCUGUUAUUAGGGAAGAACAAAUGUGUAAGUAACUAUGCACGUCUUGACGGUACCUAAUCAGAAAGCCAUGGCUAACUACGUGCCAGCCGCCGCCGUAACAC
rnacentral:rRNA from 1 species